GGCCCCACCCUAUAACUCUAAACUCUAUGUCUUACAACCUGACGUACUAGGUAUCGAGGGUACCCCUCGGCGUCGUAAAGCUCUGUCAGAGGGGAAGAACCUCCAAUCGGUUAAUAUCCGGUUGGCCUGACGGUACCCUCAAAGGAAGCACCGGCUAACUCCGUGCCAGCAGCCGCGGUAAUACGGAGGGUGCAAGCGUUGUUCGGAAUUAUUGGGCGUAAAGCGCGUGUAGGCGGCUGUUUAAGUCUGAUGUGAAAGCCCUGGGCUCAACCCGGGAAGUGCAUUGGAAACUGGACAGCUUGAAUACGGGAGAGGGAAGUGGAAUUUCGAGUGUAGGGGUGAAAUCCGUAGAUAUUCGAAGGAACACCGGUGGCGAAGGCGGCUUCCUGGACCGAUAUUGACGCUGAGACGCGAAAGCGUGGGGAGCAAACAGGAUUAGAUACCCUGGUAGUCCACGCCGUAAACGAU
rnacentral:rRNA from 1 species